GAUGAACGCUGGCGGCGUGCCUAACACAUGCAAGUCGAGCGAGAAAUUUGUAAAUGAAGCUUCGGUAGAUUUUACAAAUGGAAAGCGGCGGACGGGUGAGUAACGCGUAGGCAACCUGCCCCAUACUAAGGGAUAGCAUCGGGAAACUGAUAUUAAUACCUCAUAACACCGAACUAAUACCUAUUAGGACGGUCAAAGAUUUAUCGGUAUGGGAUGGGCCUGCGUCUGAUUAGCUAGUUGGUAAGGUAACGGCUUACCAAGGCGACGAUCAGUAGCCGACCUGAGAGGGUGAUCGGCCACAUUGGAACUGAGACACGGUCCAA
rnacentral:rRNA from 1 species